rnacentral:rRNA from 1 species
GCUGUGGAACUCCUACGGGAGGCAGCAGUGGGGAAUUUUGGACAAUGGGCGAAAGCCUGAUCCAGCCAUGCCGCGUGAGUGAUGAAGGCCCUAGGGUUGUAAAGCUCUUUUACCUGGGAAGAUAAUGACGGUACCAGGAGAAUAAGCCCCGGCUAACUUCGUGCCAGCAGCCGCGGUAAUACGAAGGGGGCUAGCGUUGUUCGGAAUCACUGGGCGUAAAGAGCACGUAGGCGGAUCUUUAAGUCAGGGGUGAAAUCCCGAGGCUCAACCUCGGAACUGCCUUUGAUACUGGGGAUCUCGAGUCCGGGAGAGGUGAGUGGAACUGCGAGUGUAGAGGUGAAAUUCGUAGAUAUUCGCAAGAACACCAGUGGCGAAGGCGGCUCACUGGCCCGGAACUGACGCUGAGGUGCGAAAGCGUGGGGAGCAAACAGGAUUAGAAACCCGAGUAGUCCUACCACGU